rnacentral:rRNA from 1 species
UGGGGAAUAUUGCACAAUGGAGGGAACUCUGAUGCAGCGACGCCGCGUGAGUGAUGAAGGAAUUCGUUUCGUAAAACUCUCUUCUAUGGGAAGAAAAGGACUGUACCAUAGGAGAAAGCUCCGGCUAAAUACGUGCCAGCAGCCGCGGUAAUACGUAUGGAGCGAGCGUUGUCCGGAAUUAUUGGGCGUAAAGGGUGCGCAGGCGGCUUUACAAGUUGGAUGUGAAAUAUUGUGGCUCAACCACAAACGUGCAUCCAAAACUGCAAAGCUUGAGUUAAGGAGAGGUAAGUGGAAUUCCUGGUGUAGCGGUGGAAUGCGUAGAUAUCAGGAGGAAUACCGGUGGCGAAGGCGACUUACUGGACUUAAACUGACGCUCAGGCACGAAAGCGUGGGGAGCAAACAGG